ACAGUUUUAUAUACCCUCCUCUCCUCCUGUCACGAGCCAUGGCUCUGCUUUGUGUGGAGGACACAGUUCCCCACAUGCCUGAUAUAUACACAGUAGAAUCUGCAAUCUUAACUUUAUCUGCACCAAAUCGAAUUUCUUAAGAUUUUAUGCGAUAACAGGCAUGAUCCGUCACGCAAUUAUAGUUGGGAUCGCAGAAAGUUUAGGAAAGUGACAGAAAUAUGCUGAACAACUCCAAGUGAUAAAGAUCAUGAUCAGGUAAGCGUUAGUCUAUCAGCACGAGGUGAUGGCCAAUGAAUGGAUAGUUGAAGGAGCCUGGCUGUUUGUGGAAUCCGUAGGAGAAACUGUUAUAUUUUGGGCGAAAUCAGAAGCAAAAUCAGUCUGGGAAUCAUCUUGAACAUCUACAAAAAUCAUCAUCUAGAGGCUAGCUAUAGCACUUGCUAAGGUUCCCAUUUGGAAUAUUGGAUAAAAGCAGCCGUGUGAAAAGUUGGUUUGUCGAUAAAUUUCCUUCCUUCUUCCGACCCCAACAAUACAAGGAAUAUCAUGUUUGAUCUUUCAAGAUGCAACGUGUGUUAAUCGGAGUUGAGUAGAAUAAUAGUUUCCGAUAUAAAGUAAGAAGGAUUUUCACUCUCCUGAAAUUUCCACAGAACACGGUAAACACCUGCUUUACACCGCCAGGUGAGGGGGGAGGCCCUAACAUUGAUGUCUCAAAACGAGUCAGGCAGGCGGAACCGCGAGCGUGAGGCAGCCUGAAACGUUCUUUAAUUGCUGCAAAGACAGACAGACGCGUCUUGCAACAAGGGGAGUCAGGGGAUCCUGUGCUGUGUUUGGAAGGAUUUGAACAGAAGUAGGUUGUGCAGAGAAACCUGGUAUUUAGAGGAUCUAUUGAUCAUGGGUGCUUAUGCAGUUGAUCCGCCAUGUGAACACGUUAAAGAAAGUUGAUUUUGAGCUUCAACAGCCCAUGAGGCCAUGGCAGAACAAGAGCCUCGUUUUGAGCUCCAGCUCGAUUCAUGAGGCCAACCAAAGACCUCAGAUUUCAUUGCUGUCAAUGUUCUCUUUUCUUAAAUUACAAUGUGAAAUUUUAACAUGA